rnacentral:rRNA from 1 species
UGGGGAAUAUUGCGCAAUGGGGGGAACCCUGACGCAGCCAUGCCGCGUGAAUGAAGAAGGCCUUCGGGUUGUAAAGUUCUUUCGGUAUUGAGGAAGGUUGAUGUGUUAAUAGUACAUCAAAUUGACGUUAAAUACAGAAGAAGCACCGGCUAACUCCGUGCCAGCAGCCGCGGUAAUACGGAGGGUGCGAGCGUUAAUCGGAAUAACUGGGCGUAAAGGGCACGCAGGCGGUUAUUUAAGUGAGGUGUGAAAGCCCCGGGCUUAACCUAGGAAUUGCAUUUCAGACUGGGUAACUAGAGUACUUUAGGGAGGGGUAGAAUUCCACGUGUAGCGGUGAAAUGCGUAGAGAUGUGGAGGAAUACCGAAGGCGAAGGCAGCCCCUUGGGAAUGUACUGACGCUCAUGUGCGAAAGCGUGGGGAGCAAACAGGAUUAGAUACCCUGGUAGUCCACGCUGUAAACGCUGUCGAUUUGGGGAUUGGGCUUAAAGCUUGGUGCCCGUAGCUAACGUGAUAAAUCGACCGCCUGGGGAGUACGGCCGCAAGGUUA